AAAAUACUCCCUUCAUCCAAAAAUACUUAUCCUCAAAAUGGACAAAAAGGGAUGUAUCUAGAACUAAAAUAUAUCUAGAAACAUCCCCUUUUAUUCAUUUUGAUGACAAGUAUUUCCGGACGGAGGAGUACUAC
rfam:Triticum aestivum genome assembly, contig: Triticum_aestivum_CS42_TGACv1_scaffold_423378_5BS